GCGAAAUCUCUGCAUAUGGAUCCAUACCAUCAGCACCACCAGAAGAGCAUACUCCUCUGCUGGUGUAGCUAGAAUUAAAAGAUAUUGUAUUGCCUCAACAAAAACACCAGGCUUGGAUAUGGUGAGGCCAACGGCACAGAUGGCUUGCUCCUCCACAUUAAACUCUGGACAUUGACCAUCCCGCUUGUCAAAUCGCCAAAGAAAUAAAGAAUUAUCAACAG
rnacentral:misc_RNA from 1 species